UACAGAGGGGGCAAGCGUUAUUCGGAAUUAUUGGGCGUAAAGGGCGCGUAGGCGGCUUUGCAAGUGGCGGGUGAAAUCCCUCGGCUUAACCGAGGAACUGCCUGUCAAACUGCAUGGCUUGAGACCAGGAGAGGUGAGUGGAAUUCCCAGUGUAGCGGUGAAAUGCGUAGAUAUCAUAAGGAAGACCAGUGGCGAAGGCGGGUCUCUGGACAGUUCCUGACGCUGAGGCACGAAGGCCAGGGAGCAAACGGG
rnacentral:rRNA from 1 species